rnacentral:lncRNA from 1 species
CUGUUAUUGGGCUUUUAGUUUUUUUGUUAUCUGUUAUUGUGAUAAUGUAUUUGCUGUUAACUGUUAUUGAAAAUUGGAAUGUUAGCAUUUUUUUGACAGCCAAUAUUCGGUAGAAAUUGAAGAUCAUUGGACAUUGGGGUCUACCACUAGUAAUAUGUUGGUCCCGUAUUCGGAGAAGGAUUUCAUUAACAUAUACCCAUUACAGAAGUGAGGUCCAGUAUAUCUUAUGAUUUUAUCCUUUGUAAUAAAUUCCAUUUUUUUUUUUUGGAACAUGUAUUUAGAAUUAUCUUAUUUUUUUGUAUGAGGAUAAUGUUCC